rnacentral:rRNA from 1 species
UACAGAGGGGGCAAGCGUUGUUUGGAAUUACUGGGCGUAAAGGGCGCGUAGGCGGCCUGUUAAGUGCACGAGUGAAAUCCCGGGGCUCACCUCCGGAACUGCUCUGCAUACUGGCAGGCUUGAGUUUGGGAGAGGGAUGCGGAAUUCCAGGUGUAGCGGUGAAAUGCGUAGAUAUAUGGAGGAACACCGGUGGCGAAGGCGGCAUCCUGGACCAACACUGACGCUGAGUGAGCGAAAGCCAGGGGAGCAAACGGG